UGAUUUCGUGUAGAUCUGUGUUCCUUGUGAAGAAAUCUAUCGAAUUUGGGUUGAUUAGAUCUUGUUUUGGGUAUUAGACUGUUCGGAUCCUUGUUUAUCAAGUUAUCCGAUUGCUUGAUCUGAAUCUGUUUGUUGAUUGCAGUCGAUCUGUUCUUAUUGUUUUAGAUCUGUUCUUGCUUGAUCUAAAUCUCAUUAUCUGUUAUCAUAUCAUCUCUGAU
rnacentral:lncRNA from 1 species